CAUUUUUCAGAAAAGAUAAUAUCCUCAUUCAGCUAACUGUUGUCUCCUGGAUGUGACUUAGUGUCUGCAGGUGGAAUAGGCGUUGCGGCACGAUUUAAGAGUUUGUAGCUUGUGACACAACAAAACAAUCUGUGAGAGUCUGGGAGUCAUCUAGAUACCUCUGGUAAGGAAGAGCUGCAGGUGGUUGCAUCUCCAAGCUCAUGGUGACUGAGGGAGCUACUGCCAGAGCUACAGGAAUGCUCGACUGGUUUGUGUGAAGCAAUGAGCUAUUUUGCUGCAUUCAAGUCAUGUGUACACCAUAUGCUGUGGCUGAAGAGAAGGAUGAAGACCACGCCCAAGCAAACUGCACCCUGCUUUCUCCCACACCAAGACGGCCCGGCUGAGGCACUGCGGUUCUUGUUUACGCCACAGAUGAUGUUUCCAGCCCCUUCCGUUCUUGUGGCAGUUCUGCAGCUCCUCCUCUGUAACUAACUCCAACUGGCACAGCUGAGACAGCAGCGAGAUGAAUCCCUGGAUUGCAGCCAGCUCUUGCUUGUAUUUCACGCUUGUGUUGCGCACUUUGAAUCAGGCCUUAGACCCCCACAGCAGCACGGGGCAGACACACAAAGAGGGGACUCUUGUCUUGUGGGGAAGAUGGCAGUCACAAGACCUCCAACGGGAUGCCAGACCGCACUGUUUGUUGUGGUCCGCUGCUCGCUUCCGGCAGUGACGCAGGCCUCUGUCAUCCCCUUCUGAGCUGAGCGUGUGUGAAGGGAGACAUUCGCUCCCCCUGGGCUUCUCUGCCCACUUGUGCACACGUGUUUGUGCAAACCCUGAAGGGAUGGGCUUGGUUCAAAGAUCGCUGGGGCGGUGGGUUGGUCUGUGGGUUCGGCAUCUGAAGGAAGAUGUGCACGGAGCUCCUCACGUCACUGGGGAGGCUGCAUCUGAAAUGUGUGGAGCUGCAAGCAAGAGCUUCCCAGCAAGAGCUAAACACAUGCCAUAGACAUCUGUAGCAGAUAUGGGAAACAAAUAGCAGAAAUAGCCAAUGAUAAUAAUCAUAGCCUUGGAGAUAAAUAUUUGACAGGCUGGUCAAAGCAGAGAUUAUAGGCCUGUAUGAUACUGACUUUGCCUCCC
rnacentral:lncRNA from 1 species